AUGCUGUAGAAGUGAUGAGUAUUUCAUGUCUCUUCUCUGACUUUAUAUCAAUGGAGAGAACUUCUAAAUCUCUGAUCACAGCAU